rnacentral:rRNA from 1 species
AGUGAACGCUGGCGGUAGGCCUAACACAUGCAAGUCGAACGGCAGCACAGUAAUAGCUUGCUCUUACGGGUGGCGAGUGGCGGACGGGUGAGGAAUACAUCGGAAUCUACUUUUUCGUGGGGGAUAACGUAGGGAAACUUACGCUAAUACCGCAUACGUCCUACGGGUGAAAGCAGGGGAUCUUCGGACCUUGCGCGAUUGAAUGAGCCGAUGUCGGAUUAGCUAGUUGGCGGGGUAAAGGCCCACCAAGGCGACGAUCCGUAGCUGGUCUGAGAGGGAGAUCAGCCACACUGGAACUGAGACACGGUCCAGACUCCUGCGGGAGGAAGCAGUGGGGAAUAUUGGACAAUGGGCGCAAGCCUGAUCCAGCCAUACCGCGUGGGUGAAGAAGGCCUGCGGGUUGUAAAGCCCUUUUGUUGGGAAAGAAAAGCAGCAGGUUAAUACCCCGCUGUUAUGACGGUACCCAAAGAAUAAGCACCGGCUAACUUCGUG